AUAUCAGUAGUUUAAAUAAAAACACUAAACUUCGAACUUAAAAACAUAGAAUAAUCUAUCCGAUAUA
rnacentral:tRNA from 1 species